GACGAACGCUGGCGGCGUGCUUAACACAUGCCAGUCGAACGGAAAGGCCCCUUUGGGGGUACUCGAGUGGCGAACGGGUGAGUAACACGUGAGUAACCUGCCCUUGACUUCGGGAUAACUUCAGGAAACUGGGGCUAAUACCGGAUAGGAAUCCUUGCUGCAUGGUGGGGGUUGGAAAGCUUCGGCGGUUUUGGAUGGACUCGCGGCUUAUCAUCUUGUUGGUGGGGUAGUGGCUUACCAAGGCUUUGACGGGUAGCCGGCCUGGGAGGGCGACCGGCCACAUUGGGGCUGGGGUACGGCCCAGACUCCUACGGGGGGCAGCAGUGGGGAAUAUUGCACAAUGGGCGGAAGCCUGAUGCAGCAACGCCGCGUGCGGGAUGACGGCCUUCGGGUUGGAAACCGCGUUCAGCAGGGGCGAAGCUUGUGGUGACGGUACCUGCAGAAGAAGCACCGGCUAACUACGUG
rnacentral:rRNA from 1 species